rnacentral:rRNA from 1 species
UACGUAGGUGGCAAGCGUUGUCCGGAAUUAUUGGGCGUAAAGCGCGCGCAGGCGGUCCUUUAAGUCUGAUGUGAAAGCCCACGGCUCAACCGUGGAGGGUCAUUGGAAACUGGGGGACUUGAGUGCAGAAGAGGAAAGCGGAAUUCCACGUGUAGCGGUGAAAUGCGUAGAGAUGUGGAGGAACACCAGUGGCGAAGGCGGCUUUCUGGCCUGUAACUGACGCUGAGGCGCGAAAGCGUGGGGAGCAAACAGG